rnacentral:rRNA from 1 species
GGUGAACGCUGGCGGAAUGCUUUACACAUGCAAGUCGAACGAUGAACCUUAGCUUGCUAAGGGGAUUAGUGGCGAACGGGUGAGUAAUGUAUCGGAACGUAUCCAAUAAUGGGGGAUAACUAGUCGAAAGAUUAGCUAAUACCGCAUACGUCCUACGGGAGAAAGCUAGGGACCUUCGGGCCUGGCGUUAAUGGAGCGGCCGAUAUCUGAUUAGCUAGUUGGUGGGGUAAAGGCUCACCAAGGCGACGAUCAGUAGCUGGUCUGAGAGGACGACCAGCCACACUGGAACUGAGACACGGUCCAGACUCCUACGGGAGGCAGCAGUGGGGAAUUUUGGACAAUGGGCGAAAGCCUGAUCCAGCCAUUCCGCGUGAGUGAAGAAGGCCUUCGGGUUGUAAAGCUCUUUCGCAAGGGAAGAAAACUUAAACUCUAACAUAGCUUGAGGUUGACGGUACCUUGAUAAGAAGCACCGGCUAACUACGUGCCAGCCGCCGCCGUAA